rnacentral:snRNA from 1 species
AAAUUGCAGAGAAUAAAAUAGAA